UGUUGAAUCGGUAGGGGAGGGAUGACUCGAGGCAGGAGAGGAAUAGGGGCGGCGGGUGGACUUGGAGGCUUCAGAAACACCUCCUGUAGGCUCCCAUAUUCAGCGUUUUCACCAAGCGGAGCAGCAGUUGAGGGGUUUCUGAUGACAGGCGCCAGGGUAACGGCCGCACCGCCAUCUUGAGAAGGGAGGGUGUGUAGCGGGGCUCAUGCGCAGCGACAAGGAUGAUGGGAUUUGGAACCAGGAAACUCAAACCAAAGAUCCCGUCAGGAUCUGAGCAAGUCCCUCAAUUCACCAGGACCUGGGUAUCAACUGCAUCUGAUUGUGGAAGGACAGACAGGACUGCCUGCUCUGUAUACUGAGCAUUAGAAGGGGAGGAUGCACAAAUGGAAAAUUCAAACCAAACAUCACAUCAGGAUCUGACAUAGUCACUGGAUUCAUCAGGACCUGAAUAUCAUUGGCCAUUGCAUAUGGAAAGGAAAAUGUUUGUCCGUUCUGUCUGAGGGAAAAGAUUUCAAGCAUCAAUGUGAUUGGAAAAGCACCGAGACACAGAUACCUGAGGGGGAGUGUUGCAGUGAACUAACUGUGGAAAGAGCUUUAACCAGUUACACAGCCUGAAAAAAAUCACACUAUUCACAGCACGGAGAAAUCGUGUACGUGUUGUGUGUGCGGACAAGGCUUCAGCUGGUCUUGCAACCUGGAGAGACUCAAGGACAUCCACACCAUGGAGAAAUCAUGGAAAUGUGGGAUGGGAUUCAAUUACCCAUCCAAGAUGGAAACUCAUCAACGCACUCACACUGGGAAGAGGCCAUUCACCUGCUCUGUGUGUGGGAAGGGAUUCACUCAGUCAUCUAUCCUGCUGACACACCAGUGAGUUCACACUGGGGAGAGACCAUUCAUUUGUUCUGUAUGUGGAAAGGGGUUUAGUUGUGCAUCCCAUCUUGUGACACACGAGCGAGUUCACACUGGGGAGAGGCUGUUCACCUGCUCUGUCUGUGGGAAGCGAUUCACUGUUUCAUCCCGUCUUCUGACACAUGAGCGAGUUCACACCGGAGAAGCCAUUCACCUGCUCCAAGUGUGGGAAAGGAUUCAUUUCCUCAUCCCUCCUUCUGGCACACCAGCAGGUUCACACUGUGGAGAGGCCGUUCACCUGCUUGGUGUGUGGGAAGGGAUUCACUGUUUCGUCCAGGCUGCUGACACACCAGGGCAUUCACAAUGGAGAGACACCAUUCACCUGUUCCAUCUGUGGAAAGGGUUUCGCUCAUUCAUCACAUUUGCUGAGACACCAGCGUGUGCACAUUUAGAGGAGGUUCUUACUGCUGCUGUUAAUCUGCUCCGUGUGUGGGAAGGGAUCUACUUAUUCAUGACACAUCAACAUGUUCACUCUGAUAAAAGACGUUUCAAAUGCUCUGACUGAGAAGAGCUUUACAAUUACAAAUAACCUGCUGAAACUUCAAGAGGACAUCAACAGGCUGGUGGAUUGGACAGACACAAAGCCUGACAAAAUUCAACACAGAAAAAUGUGAGGUGAUAUACUUCGUAGGAAGAUUGAGGAGAGACUGAUCAUGUUAAACAUUAAUGAACAGUGAGAGCUGUGUAAGAAUAUGGGGCUGUUGAUGAUAUUUUGAGAAAUUAGGCAUUGCAAGCGUUAAAUGGUCAGAAACAUUUCUCUGAUUAGAUUCUCUCUGCAACGAGAUGCACUGCCUUGGACUUUCUACUGCCUCAAGGUUUUGAAUGUGUGAGAAGUGGCUUUGGUGCUGCAAAAACUCCCUUAUUAUCCCGAGGAAAGAACAAGCGAAAGUUCUCCUUUGAUUGUGGAAGUACAUCGAGCUCUUGUAAACCUGGGGAAUAUUAUCAAUUAGAAAUCCUUGUUACUAAUUUCCAGCAUUCAGCUUUGACACAGUUAGAACACUCGUCACCAUGAAGGUCCUGGGUUACCUCAGCACCAUGGAAACAAACACCCAGUUUGUGUUUGUUCUCAGGCCCAGGAUGAAAAGCCAAUAGGUGGAGGCCCAAGAACUCUCCCUGGAGACAGAACCUUCUAGGCUAAUGAUUGGCUAGAAUGGGACUAUAGGAGAUCGAUGAUUGGAUGGAUUUUUCUGUGAUUCCAGGUUUUGGGAUUUAUCCCAGUGGGUUUGAGACAUUCUGAGUUUGGAAAGGUCAGGAGGGUCACUACUCCAAAUUGGCUUAAAUACAAAUGUGAAUCAGAGAAAUGAGGCCCCUUCUACAUCCCAAUGGACAACAGUGCAGAAUCAAAUUCUUCUUUGUACCUUGUAAACUGCUGCUCAAAAACAGUGUAUUAAGUUUCACCUGAAUAACUGUUACCAACACGUAGCCAUCUUACAACCAUUGAGCAGAUCAUCAUGGGAACAGAAUGAUGCAGGCACUAUAUAACUGCAAGCUGUUGUUGAUAUUGACUGUGGGCGGAUUAAGUUGCCCAUCUGAGCUGGAAACUUGGUCCAGUCCUGCCAGGGAGGGUGUUCCUAUGACUAUUCACAAACAGGGACCUCCAGUGGUGGGACAUUUGCCCAGCAUUCCCCACGAUGGGGAAUGUCCCCUAUCUACACCACAGUAGACCAGUGCACAGGCACAGUUUCAAACAGGGUUUGGAGCAUGCGCAGUGUGAGUGAUGGCCAUGGAUGACACUUGUUUUUCGUAACUGCAGUCGAUAGGCAGUCAAGGGGAGACAGAGGGAGUGAUGGAGCCAGCGGGUGGGUGAGGAAGCUUCACAAACACUUUCAAGUAGGCCACAAACCCCAAAUCCAUGUUUGCACUGGUUGGGGUAGCAGCCCCAGGCAUUCCCCCAGUGACAGGCCCAGGUUAGAGGGACAAUGUGCAGCAGGGCGCACGCACGGUCAUCCUGGGCCAGGGAACAGGAGGAGAGAAUGUUGUGAAUUUCACAGAAUCACAGAAUUGUUACAGCACAGAAGGAGGCCACUCAGCCCAUCAAGUCUGUGCUGGCUCUCUGAACAAGCAAUUCACCAAGUGCCAUCCCCCUGUAACCCUGUUCAUCCUUCCCCUUCAAAUAAUAAUUCAGGGUUUGUAUCCUGGGCUGACAGUGGUGGAUUUUGGAAACUCAAAGCAAGAGAAAUGUUUGUUCUGAAUUUUAUUCUGUCCUUACAGUGGUUGUUUUUGUAAAUACUUUAAACAGGGGGAUUUACAGACAGGAAACUCAAACCAAGCAUCAUAUCAAGAGCUGACAGAGUCACUCGAUUCAUAAGGACCUGAAUAUCGCGGCCUUUGAAUCUGGAAGGAGAAAUGUUUGUGUGUUCUGGCUGCAGGAAAAGAUUUGAAACAUCAGUGUAACUAGAAAAGCACCAAGAAACACACACACUCGAGUGAGAAUGUUCCAGUGCACUGACUGUCGCAAGAGCUUUAACCAGUUACACAGCCUGAAAUAACAUCACACCAUUCAGUGGGGAGAGACUGUACACGUGUUCUGUGUGGUCGAAGUGUGAACUGAUCAUCCAACCUGGAGAGGCACAAGGACACCAACACCAUGGAGAAACCAUGGAAAUGUGGGGACUGUGAGAAGGGAUUCAUUUCGCCAUCCCACCUGGAAGCUCAUGGCUGCACUCAUACUGGGGAGAGGCCAUUCACCUGCUCCAUCUGUGGGAAGGGAUACACUCGGUUAUCUUGAGAUGCACCAACUUGUUCAUUCUGAUAAGCCAUUUACAUGUUCUGACUGUGAGUCAGAAACAUUUAAAAGAAAACCAGAUUUGCUGACACACCAAUGUAUUCACAAUGGGGAGAGGCCAUUCACCUGCUCUGUGUGUGGAAAAGGAUUCACUCAGUCAUCUGGCCUUCUGACGCACCAACAAGUUCACAAUGGGGAGAGGCCAUUCAGCUGCUCCGAGUGUGGGAAGAGAUUCACUCACUCGUCCAUUCUGCUAAAACACCAGCGAAUUGACACUCGGGACAGAUCGUUCACCUGCUCCGACUGUGGGAAGGGAUUCAUUCAGUCAUCUCAUCUGCUGAGAGACCAGCGAGUUCAUACUGGGGAGAGGCCAUUCAACUGCUCCGCGUGUGGGAAGAGUUUCAAUCAUUUAUCCAACCUCCGGAGACAUCAGCGAGUUCACAAGUAACUGCAGGGGUUGGAUCCUGAUGUUAUUGCUGCUUUUAGUCAUACCCAGGACUGAACCAUGUUCAUUUUGAUACUUGGCAUUUGUUUCUGCUGACGUUAAUGACCCCAAUAACAAGGCUGGAGAUUAAUAUUCUAGAUAAGUGUCAAAUAAAUCAGCUUGGUGUCAAACA